rnacentral:rRNA from 1 species
UCGAGGCCGAAAGGCGUAGUCGAUGCACAUACGGUUGAAAUUCCGUAGCCGCCGAAAUUGUUAAGCACAGGGACACAUAGAGAUAUCCGAACCCGGGCGUUGGUUGACCCGGGCGCAAGGGACCGAACAUCAGUAGGGAAGUCGGAGAUGCUCUGUGGCGAGAAAAGCUGUGUGUAUUGAUUAGGCGCCCGUACCGCAAACCGACACAGGUAGAUGAGGAGAGAAUCCUAAGGCCAACGGGAGAAGGGUUGUUAAGGAACUCGGCAAAUUGACCCCGUAACUUCGGGAUAAGGGGAGCCUCCUACGGGAGGCCGCAGUGAAUAGGCCCAAGCAACUGUUUACCAAAAACACAGGUCUCUGCUAAAUCGAAAGAUGACGUAUAGGGGCUGACGCCUGCCCGGUGCCGGAAGGUUAAGAGGAGAGCUUAGCGCAAGCGAAGGUUCGAAUUGAAGCCCCGGUAAACGGCGGCCGUAACUAUAACGGUCCUAAGGUAGCGAAAUUCCUUGUCAGGUAAGUUCUGACCCGCACGAAUGGCGUAAUGAUUUGGGCACUGUCUCAACAGCCCGCCCGGCGAAAUUGUAGUACUGGUGAAGAUGCCAGUUACCCGCAACUAGACGGAAAGACCCCAUGGAGCUUUACUGUAGCCUAAUACUGAAGAUCGGUAAUGCAUGUACAGGAUAGGUGGGAGCCAGCGAAACCCGGGCGUCAGCUCGGAUGGGGGCAACCUUGGAAUACCACCCUUGUAUUGCUGGUUUUCUAACCUGCGGCCAUGAAUCUGGUCGGGGGACACUGUUAGGUGGGCAGUUUGACUGGGGCGGUCGCCUCCAAAAGCGUAACGGAGGCGCUCAAAGGUUGGCUCAGCACGGACGGAAAUCGUGCAUAGAGUGCAAACGCAUAAGCCAACUUGACUGCGAGACCGACGGGUCGAGCAGGUACGAAAGUAGGAGUUAGUGAUCCGGUGGUAUGUGAGUGGAAAUGCCAUCGCUCAACGGAUAAAAGCUACCCUGGGGAUAACAGGCUGAUCUCCCCCAAGCGUCCACAGCGACGGGGAGGUUUGGCACCUCGAUGUCGGCUCGUCACAUCCUGGGGCUGUAUUCGGUCCCAAGGGUUCGGUUGUUCGCCGAUUAAAGUGGCACGCGAGCUGGGUUCAGAACGUCGUGAGACAGUUCGGUCCCUAUCUGUUGCGGGCGCAGGAGAUUUGAAGGGAGCUGUCCUUAGUACGAGAGGACCGGGAUGGACAGACCUCUGGUGCACCAGUUGUCGUGCCAACGGCACAGCUGGGUAGCUACGUCUGGACGAGAUAAACGCUGAAAGCAUCUAAGUGUGAAACUCCCCCUAAGAUAAGAUCUCCCAUCCACUAGGAGUAAGGGACGACAGAGACUAUGUCGUUGAUAGGUCGGAAGUGUAAGUGCAGUAAUGCAUUGAGCUGACCGAUACUAAUAACCCGAGGGCUUGACCU